rnacentral:rRNA from 1 species
GAUGAACGCUGGCGGCGUGCUAAUACAUGCAAGUCGAGCGAACAGAUGAGAAGCUUGCUUCUCUGAUGUUAGCGGCGGACGGGUGAGUAACACGUGGGUAACCUACCUAUAAGACUGGGAUAACUCCGGGAAACCGGGGCUAAUACCGGAUAAUAUUUUGAACCGCAUGGUUCAAUAGUGAAAUACGGUUUCGGCUGUCACUUAUAGAUGGACCCGCGCCGUAUUAGCUAGUUGGUAAGGUAACGGCUUACCAAGGCGACGAUACGUAGCCGACCUGAGAGGGUGAUCGGCCACACUGGAACUGAGACACGGUCCAGACUCCUACGGGAGGCAGCAGUAGGGAAUCUUCCGCAAUGGGCGAAAGCCUGACGGAGCAACGCCGCGUGAGUGAUGAAGGUCUUCGGAUCGUAAAACUCUGUUGUUAGGGAAGAACAAAUUUGUUAAUAACUGAACAAGUCUUGACGGUACCUGACCAGAAAGCCACGGCUAACUACGUGCCAGCAGCCGCAGUAA